GCCUCGGUGGCGGAUGGUCCGCGUCUGCAAUAAUUGGCAGGCUAUCCCAGUUGCGCAGAGGUCGCUCGGUCGAUUCGAGCCCGAGGCA